rnacentral:sRNA from 1 species
UUGUUGCGUUAAGGAUAGUAGUGGUUACCCCACACGAAUUGAGAACAUCGAGCCAUCUCACUUUUAUGUGAGCUGAUAGCGAGGUUUUCUUAAUGAGGAGGAGUAAAAACGGAUAGCCUGACCCGUA